GCUUUGCCUACAAGAGCCUGAGAUGUUGGUACAUUUAUUUCUUAAUUGUGAGCAGACACCACGUGUUUGGUUCGCAUUCAGUAUAGACCUUAUAAUUGAUAAUGCGGAUAGGCCUCUGUCCUUUUGAAUUUUCUUUAUCCUAACUAAUAAAGCUAUGAUGACUCAUAGGGCUUUCUAUGUUCAUUUGUUAUGGAGCUUAUGGAAAGGAAGGAAUAAAAUGAUUUUUGAAGGAAAAAUUUUCAAUAUUACUACCAUCAUUUCACGGGCUCGUAGCUGAACGACCUUAUAUUCUAAAGAGAACAUGAUGAUGAUUAGCAUUCAGAACCCAACUUU
rnacentral:lncRNA from 1 species